rnacentral:rRNA from 1 species
CGGGGGUACUCGAGUGGCGAACGGGUGAGUAACACGUGGGUAAUCUGCCCUGCACUUCGGGAUAAGCCUGGGAAACUGGGUCUAAUACCGGAUAUGACCACGAGACGCAUGUCUUGUGGUGGAAAGCUUUUGCGGUGUGGGAUGGGCCCGCGGCCUAUCAGCUUGUUGGUGGGGUGAUGGCCUACCAAGGCGACGACGGGUAGCCGGCCUGAGAGGGUGUCCGGCCACACUGGGACUGAGAUACGGCCCAGACUCCUACGGGAGGCAGCAGUGGGGAAUAUUGCACAAUGGGCGCAAGCCUGAUGCAGCGACGCCGCGUGGGGGAUGACGGCCUUCGGGUUGUAAACCUCUUUCAGCAGGGACGAAGCGCAAGUGACGGUACCUGCAGAAGAAGCACCGGCCAACUACGUGCCAGCAGCCGCGGUAAUACGUAGGGUGCGAGCGUUGUCCGGAAUUACUGGGCGUAAAGAGCUCG